rnacentral:misc_RNA from 1 species
AGUUCUCAACCACAUCUUUAUUGAUGUGGCUUGGAUAGUGGGGGUUUAUAUUUGCAGGCUUUUGAAAAGAAGUCAGCUCCCCUGAAAUGAAUUAGUGGUAUCUAAGCAGAGACUACUACAGGUGUGAUAAAUUAUCUAUGCCUUGGUAUACUGCACAAACUGCUUCUAAGAACAAAAAUUGACCC